rnacentral:ncRNA from 1 species
CCGGGGACGACCCCGGCGUGAUGUGGAACCUCCGGGACGGCCCGG